GCGGGUGUGGCGGAAUCGGUAGACGCGCCGGAUUCAAAAUCCGGUGUCGCAAGACGUGUCGGUUCGAGUCCGACCAUCCGUACCA
rnacentral:tRNA from 1 species